rnacentral:rRNA from 1 species
UACAGAGGGGGCAAGCGUUGUUCGGAAUUACUGGGCGUAAGGGCGCGUAGGCGGCCUUCUAAGUCGAACGUGAAAUCCCCGGGCUCAACCCGGGAACUGCGUCCGAUACUGGCAGGCUUGAAUCCGGGAGAGGGAUGCGGAAUUCCAGGUGUAGCGGUGAAAUGCGUAGAUAUCUGGAGGAACACCGGUGGCGAAGGCGGCAUCCUGGACCGGUAUUGACGCUGAUGCGCGAAAGCCAGGGGAGCAAACGGG